UACCAGCACCCCGAGUGGUCGGGACGUUUAUUGGGCCUAAAGCAUCCGUAGCCGGUUCUACAAGUCUUCCGUUAAAUCCAACUGCUUAACAGGUGGGCUGCGGAAGAUACUAUAGAGCUAGGAGGCGGGAGAGGCAAGCGGUACUCGAUGGGUAGGGGUAAAAUCCGUUGAUCCAUUGAAGACCACCAGUGGCGAAGGCGGCUUGCCAGAACGCGCUCGACGGUGAGGGAUGAAAGCUGGGGGAGCAACGG
rnacentral:rRNA from 1 species